CUCGGCCUUCUUCCUGGUGGAUGACGGCACGCACGGCUGCCUGGGGGGCGAGAACCGCUUUCGCUUGCGCCUGGAGUCCUACAUCUCACAGCAGAAGACGGGCGUGGGAGGGACUGGAAUUGACAUCCCUGUCCUGCUCCUCCUGAUUGAUGGUGAUGAGAAGAUGUUGACGCGAAUAGAGAAUGCCACCCAGGCUCAGCUCCCCUGUCUCCUCGUGGCUGGCUCCGGGGGAGCUGCGGACUGCCUGGCGGAGACCCUGGAAGACACUCUGGCCCCAGGGAGUGGGGUAGCCAGGCAAGGCGAAGCCCGAGAUCGAAUCAGGCGUUUCUUUCCCAAAGGGGACCUUGAGGUCCUGCAGGCCCAGGUGGAGAGGAUUAUGACCCGGAAGGAGCUCCUGACAGUCUAUUCUUCUGAGGAUGGGUCUGAGGAAUUCGAGACCAUAGUUUUGAAGGCCCUUGUGAAGGUCCUUCCAUCUCGAAGCUUCCCUCAUGGACGCCCUGCUGAAUGACCGGCCUGAGUUCGUGCGCUUGCUCAUUUCCCACGGCCUCAGCCUGGGCCACUUCCUGACCCCGAUGCGCCUGGCCCAACUCUAUAGCGCGGCGCCCCCCAACUCGCUCAUCCGCAACCUUUUGGACCAGGCGU
rnacentral:sRNA from 1 species